UUUGCGUGUUAUCAACUUGGUUUACGGCGAACGUGUAAGAUGUCCAGGACCCUAUCUACACCCGGGUUGGCGAAAAAACGGGGAAACGAUGCAGAGAUGACUGAAAACAACAGAAGCAAUAGCUGUUUAAGGACGGUGUGAAGGAUAAAGAUUCCCACCCCUCUUCACCAUAUAAUAUCUUCGCCUUUCAUAAAGAGGCGGAUUGUUAGCCUAUCCCUUUCCAGUUGUCUUCCGCCACAAAGUACUGGCAUAUAUAGAUGAAAACUCCAGAUUUGACACCCAAAAUGACUGAGUAUUUUGGCUAAUACUUCAUAACUUGACUUUUACAUCCCCAAAUUGAAAAUCCUGGAUCCUCCACUGAUAUGGGGAAGACAGAUGGGAUCUAUGAAAUACAGCAUACGUUUAUUUCAAGAUAAUGGGCCUACUGCUUGAUGGUUUAUUGGAUUGUGAAAAGUGACACUGGAUUACCUACUUGCCAGACCAAUUUAUUACAGGGCAGGUUAUGAAAGCUGCUUUGUUCUUCAAAAUCUGUCGAUUGUAACACUACAAAAUAUUUUCUGUGUGGAAAGACUUUCUUGUUGGUAAAAUAUUGAAGUAUUAUCGUAUCUUAUGAUACACAAAUGCAGAUUAAGUAUCAAAAAUAAAAUAAAAGUCUUCAACACCA